rnacentral:rRNA from 1 species
ACCAGACUCCUACGGGAGGCAGCAGUGGGGAAUAUUGGACAAUGGGGGGAACCCUGAUCCAGCGACGCCGCGUGAGUGAAGAAGUAUUUCGGUAUGUAAAGCUCUAUCAGCAGGGAAGAAAGAAAUGACGGUAUCUGACUAAGAAGCCCCGGCUAACUACGUGCCAGCAGCCGCGGUAAUACGUAGGGGGCAAGCGUUAUCCGGAUUUAUUGGGUUUAAAGGGUGCGUAGGCGGGUUGUCAAGUCAGCGGGGAAAAACGCGGGGGCAAAACGGGGUCCCGCCGUUGAAACUGGCGAACUCGAGAGGGAGAGAAGUAGGCGGAAUGCGCAGGGUAGCGGUGAAAGGCAUAGAUAUUGCGCAGAACUCCGAUUGCGAAGGCAGCCUACCGGCUCCUGUCUGACGCUGAGGCACGAAAGCGUGGGUAUCGAACAGGAUUAGAUACCCGCGUAA